GAUGAAGAACGCAGCGAAAUGCGAUAAGUAAUGCGAAUUGCAGAAUUUCCGUGAGUCAUCGAAUCUUUGAACGCACAUUGCGCCCACUGGUAUUCCGGUGGGCAUGCCUGUUCGAGCGUCAUUAUAACCACUCAAGCUCUCGCUUGGUAUUGGGGUUCGCGGUUCCGCGGCCCCUAAAAUCAGUGGCGGUGCCUGUCGGCUCUACGCGUAGUAAUACUCCUCGCGAUUGAGUCCGGUAGGUCUACUUGCCAGCAACCCCCAAUUUUUACAGGUUGACCUCGGAUCAGGUAGGGAUACCCGCUGAACUUAAGCAUAUCAAUAAGCGGAGGA
rnacentral:misc_RNA from 1 species